UACUGUUAGCAAUGUUUUUACAAUGAAUUCUUGCCACAUUAGAAUGUUAUACAUACUUUUACGGGCCUCAAUGACAUAGGUAGGCCUUUGAAAUAUUUCUACCGCAGGAGGGGCGAAAAGGGCACUGGCAGGAAUGAGUUUGUUAUGCUGAGUGGUGGUAACUUACUGCACACAUGGCAUAUUGAGAUGGCGAAAAUCUCUAUGAGAGAAAAACAUAAUAAAGAGCUAGUAGUAGGGAGAGAGAGGGAGGCAAUCAUUUUGGUAAUUGUGGGUAUGAUUAUUGUCACAAGGCAGGGAGAGAAUUCUCUGAUUUACCUUAUUUUUUGGUUUUUGUCACCUUGAGUAAUACUAGGACCUACCAAUAUGGUAUCAAAGCUCCCAAUCUUGGGAGCCUUUGGAUGGUGUUGACAUGGAAAGCGUGGAACAAAGGUUGGAAGGGCUGCAAGCCUCCAUCUAGAAAACUUUCCACAAACAGUUAGAAGAAAUGAUGAGGGUGAUGUUGGAAAGAUUUCAGUCAGCGUCAAUGGAAAACCCAUAUGAAGCUUUAAAGGGUCUGAGACAAAAGGUUCAUUCAUGGAGUAUCUGAGUAGUUCAAACUUCUUUCAACUCUCCAAUUUGUAGACGAGGGUUCAUGAAGGUAGCUUUCAUGAAUGGUUUGAAGGACGAGGUCACGAUAGUUAGCUCGGGAGAUCUACUAACUUUGAUGGAGAUGACACAAAAAGUGGAAAAAAGGUAUCACUUACUGGGUCGAUGACAUGAGUUCGUGGGCUAGCUACACAAAAACCAGUUUGGGCCGGAAGAAGAGUUGGGGCCCAAGAUCUCUCGAGGAGAAAUCUCCCACACUCUCAUUCAGGUGAGAGUCGAGGAGAGCCCAACCAAAUAGGGGCAAACUCAGGAGAAAAAAGUGCCACAAACUCAAAUCAAAGAGGAUGGAGCUUCAAAAAAUUGAAAGAGGAGGAAGAUAAUGAUAGGAGAUGAAGGAAUUUGUGUUUCUGGUGUGAAAAGCCUUACACUCAUGGCAACAUGUGUCGCAAUAAGCAACUUCAUGUGAUUUUAUUUGGUGAGAGGGAGAAAGAAGAGAAGGAUAGUUAGGGCGAGGAAGGUAAUGGAGGGGUAGAUGAAUAUGCGUCUACAUGCAAGUAACAUUACGUGGAUGAUUUCAAAAUAUUCCCUAAAGUUAUGGGGAACUAUCACGGGCAAGAAGGUCAUAGUUUUGGUGGACUCCAAUGCCUCAUAAUUUUUUGUCCUCGAGUCUAAUUGUGGAGAUGAAUAUUCCAUUAAAGGAGACCAAGGGUUAUUUUGUGGAGGUUGGGAGUGGCCAGAGGUUAGGAAGCCAGGGAGUUUGUAAAGGGGUGGAGUUUUAAUUGAAGAUAGAGCUAGAUUUCUUUUUAUUUGAGUUGGUAGGGGUGGAUGUAAUUUUGGGAUAUGAAUGGCUAAAAUGUUUAGGCAAGUUUUUGGCAGAUUUUCAACAACACUUAAUAGAGGUGCUAAAGGAUGGUUGAGUAAUUGAAAUUGAGGGUGAUACAACUUUAUCCAGAACUAUGACAUCCUUAAAAGCUGGAAAGGAGUUAAGGAAUGAGGUAGAAGCUUUUUAUGUUGACUGGGGAUGAUGAAUGUGAUUAACAUGGAGUCAUCCCUUAAUUUUAAUAGAAGAGACCCUUGAAAAUUUAAAAGAGCUAUUAUUGGAAUUCAAACAUCUGUUAAAGGAGAGCACCACUUUACCACCCAAGAGAGAAUGUGACCAAGCAAUUGCCUUAAAGGAAGGAGCUCAAAUUCCCAUUAUUCGUCCCUGUAGGCAUCCUCAUAGUCAUAAAAAAGAGAUUGAGAAAUUUGUUCAUGAUAUGUUGGCUUCAGGUUUGCUUCUACCUAGCACUAGUUCUUAUGAUAGUCCAUUAAUUUUGGUUAAGAAAAAAGAUGGUAGCUAAUGCAUUUGUGUGGAUUAUAAGGCUCUGAAUAGGAUCACCUUUCCAAAUAAGUUUCCCAUUCUGGUUACCGAGGAGUUAUUGAAUUGGCUUGGAGGGGAUACCAUUGUUUCCAAGUUGGAUCUCAAGUCUCCAAAUUGGAGGGGAUACCACAUGCUAUCAUUAGAAAUGCAUGUGGAAAGAGGAUAUUCAUAAGACAAAAUUUUGGACACAUGAAGGGCAUUACAAAUACCUACUAAUGCCAUUUGGCCUCACAAAUGCUCCUUCCACAUUCUAAGCUUUCAUGAACAACAUAUUCCGAUCAUAUUUGCGGAGAUUUGUUUUUUUUUUUGACAUUCUCAUGUACUACAAAGAUUUUAAUUCACAUAUUGCCCAUUUCAAGGUGGUUUUUCCGUUGUUACAACGACAUAAAAAGUAAGGCAGCAGAUGCAUUAUUUCACGUAAUGGACUAUGGUGCAAUUUCAAUGGUCAUCAAUGCUGAUUUGGUGGAAAUAAUAAAGAAUUUGUGGUUGAUGAGCUGCUUUGGGGGAUUAUGCUGGAGAUUGUGAGGGAUCCAAAGUCACAUCCUCAUUAUUUAGUUUCUAAAGGUUGUCUUUGGUUCAAAGCACAAGGGAGAAUGAAAGAACAGGCUCACAGGGGUAGGUGGAAUUUCAGGUAAGAGACAUGAUGUACUUGAAAGCCCAGCCCUAUAAAUUAUGGUAACUAGCUAGACACAUUAAUGAAAAACUCAGUCCUAAGUUCUAUGGGCCAUUCAAGGUCUUUUGGACAGAAUUGGGAAAGUGGAAAUUACAACUGCCAGACAACUCAAGAUUGCACGCGGUGUUCCAUGUUUCACAGUUAAAGAAGGCUUUACCAUCCUACCAACUGAGUCAAGAACUUCCCAAGUUCCUCUCAAAUGAGUUUGAAUUGAUGGUGGAACCAGAGCAAGUGUUGGCUACAAGGAAACUGCUGAAUGGGAAGUGGCAAGUACUGAUAAAAUGGACUGACUUGCCCACAUAAGAUAGCUCCUGGGAAGAUUAUGAGGUUAUUCAGGCUGUUUUUCCCCUAUUCCACCUUGCAGACAAGAUGUCGCUUGUUGGGGAGGGUAUUGAUGGGCCUCAACGGCACAGGUCUUUGAAUUAUUUCUACCACAGGAGUAGCAAAAAGGACACUGGCAGGAAUGAGUCUAUUAUGCUGAGUGGUAGUAACUAACUGCACAUGUGGUAGAUUGAGAUAGCAGAAAUCUGUGGGAGAAAAAAGAGAACAAAGAGCUAGGGGGGGGGAGAGAGAGAGGGAGGCAAUCAUUUUGGUAAUUGUGGGGUGAUUAUUGUGACAGACAGAGCAGGGGAGAAUUCUCUGAUUUACUAUUUUUCUGGUUUUUGUCACCUUGAGUAAUACCAAGAUCUAUCAUACUUCUUACACAUUUAUAAUUGAUUGGAAACACCAGUACAAAAUCUUUGUUCAAAAUCACCCUAUUAUGGUUUGAUUAUGACUUGGACCAGGGUUUUAAAUAGCAUGCAAUAUUGGGGUAACAGUAUAAGAACCUCUAUUCACUACAGGGGAGGCUGAAAAAUGGAUAUUUUACAAUCCUUACUGUCCAUCUUGAAGGGUCAUCUUUGGGAUUUUAAUUUCCAAAAUUGAAAUCCAUAGAUGUAAUAAUAGUGAAAAGAUAAAGAAGACUUGGCUUUAGAAGAUGAUGACUGAUGAUUCCAAUCUAGGAAACUUGUAUUUGAUUUCUGU
rnacentral:lncRNA from 1 species